UGCCGCCUUACAAUGGACAAAGAAACACCUUGUUGUUGGUGUUGUUCUUACAUCAGUUAAGGGCAGAGCGGACAGCAGUCUUUUGUUAAUCCUAGCUUGAUGCCUGGCUUGGUGGCCAAAGCUGUUUUAUGCCUAAGACGCAUAA